rnacentral:rRNA from 1 species
UUAAGCGACUAAGCGUACACGGUGGAUGCCCUGGCAGUCAGAGGCGAUGAAGGACGUGCUAAUCUGCGAUAAGCGUCGGUAAGGUGAUAUGAACCGUUAUAACCGGCGAUUUCCGAAUGGGGAAACCCAGUGUGAUUCGUCACACUAUCAUUAACUGAAUCCAUAGGUUAAUGAGGCGAACCGGGGGAACUGAAACAUCUAAGUACCCCGAGGAAAAGAAAUCAACCGAGAUUCCCCCAGUAGCGGCGAGCGAACGGGGAGCAGCCCAGAGCCUGAAUCAGUGUGUGUGUUAGUGGAAGCGUCUGGAAAGGCGUGCGAUACAGGGUGACAGCCCCGUACACAAAAAUGCACAUAUUGUGAGCUCGAUGAGUAGGGCGGGACACGUGGUAUCCUGUCUGAAUAUGGGGGGACCAUCCUCCAAGGCUAAAUACUCCUGACUGACCGAUAGUGAACCAGUACCGUGAGGGAAAGGCGAAAAGAACCCCGGCGAGGGGAGUGAAAAAGAACCUGAAACCGUGUACGUACAAGCAGUGGGAGCACGCUUAGGCGUGUGACUGCGUACCUUUUGUAUAAUGGGUCAGCGACUUAUAUUCUGUAGCAAGGUUAACCGAAUAGGGGAGCCGAAGGGAAACCGAGUCUUAACUGGGCGUUAAGUUGCAGGGUAUAGACCCGAAACCCGGUGAUCUAGCCAUGGGCAGGUUGAAGGUUGGGUAACACUAACUGGAGGACCGAACCGACUAAUGUUGAAAAAUUAGCGGAUGACUUGUGGCUGGGGGUGAAAGGCCAAUCAAACCGGGAGAUAGCUGGUUCUCCCCGAAAGCUAUUUAGGUAGCGCCUCGUGAAUUCAUCUCCGGGGGUAGAGCACUGUUUCGGCAAGGGGGUCAUCCCGACUUACCAACCCGAUGCAAACUGCGAAUACCGGAGAAUGUUAUCACGGGAGACACACGGCGGGUGCUAACGUCCGUCGUGAAGAGGGAAACAACCCAGACCGCCAGCUAAGGUCCCAAAGUCAUGGUUAAGUGGGAAACGAUGUGGGAAGGCCCAGACAGCCAGGAUGUUGGCUUAGAAGCAGCCAUCAUUUAAAGAAAGCGUAAUAGCUCACUGGUCGAGUCGGCCUGCGCGGAAGAUGUAACGGGGCUAAACCAUGCACCGAAGCUGCGGCAGCGACACUAUGUGUUGUUGGGUAGGGGAGCGUUCUGUAAGCCUGUGAAGGUGUACUGUGAGGUAUGCUGGAGGUAUCAGAAGUGCGAAUGCUGACAUAAGUAACGAUAAAGCGGGUGAAAAGCCCGCUCGCCGGAAGACCAAGGGUUCCUGUCCAACGUUAAUCGGGGCAGGGUGAGUCGACCCCUAAGGCGAGGCCGAAAGGCGUAGUCGAUGGGAAACAGGUUAAUAUUCCUGUACUUGGUGUUACUGCGAAGGGGGGACGGAGAAGGCUAUGUUGGCCGGGCGACGGUUGUCCCGGUUUAAGCGUGUAGGCUGGUUUUCCAGGCAAAUCCGGAAAAUCAAGGCUGAGGCGUGAUGACGAGGCACUACGGUGCUGAAGCAACAAAUGCCCUGCUUCCAGGAAAAGCCUCUAAGCAUCAGGUAACAUCAAAUCGUACCCCAAACCGACACAGGUGGUCAGGUAGAGAAUACCAAGGCGCUUGAGAGAACUCGGGUGAAGGAACUAGGCAAAAUGGUGCCGUAACUUCGGGAGAAGGCACGCUGAUAUGUAGGUGAAGUCCCUCGCGGAUGGAGCUGAAAUCAGUCGAAGAUACCAGCUGGCUGCAACUGUUUAUUAAAAACACAGCACUGUGCAAACACGAAAGUGGACGUAUACGGUGUGACGCCUGCCCGGUGCCGGAAGGUUAAUUGAUGGGGUCAGCGCAAGCGAAGCUCUUGAUCGAAGCCCCGGUAAACGGCGGCCGUAACUAUAACGGUCCUAAGGUAGCGAAAUUCCUUGUCGGGUAAGUUCCGACCUGCACGAAUGGCGUAAUGAUGGCCAGGCUGUCUCCACCCGAGACUCAGUGAAAUUGAACUCGCUGUGAAGAUGCAGUGUACCCGCGGCAAGACGGAAAGACCCCGUGAACCUUUACUAUAGCUUGACACUGAACAUUGAGCCUUGAUGUGUAGGAUAGGUGGGAGGCUUUGAAGUGUGGACGCCAGUCUGCAUGGAGCCGACCUUGAAAUACCACCCUUUAAUGUUUGAUGUUCUAACGUGGACCCGUAAUCCGGGUUGCGGACAGUGUCUGGUGGGUAGUUUGACUGGGGCGGUCUCCUCCUAAAGAGUAACGGAGGAGCACGAAGGUUGGCUAAUCCUGGUCGGACAUCAGGAGGUUAGUGCAAUGGCAUAAGCCAGCUUGACUGCGAGCGUGACGGCGCGAGCAGGUGCGAAAGCAGGUCAUAGUGAUCCGGUGGUUCUGAAUGGAAGGGCCAUCGCUCAACGGAUAAAAGGUACUCCGGGGAUAACAGGCUGAUACCGCCCAAGAGUUCAUAUCGACGGCGGUGUUUGGCACCUCGAUGUCGGCUCAUCACAUCCUGGGGCUGAAGUAGGUCCCAAGGGUAUGGCUGUUCGCCAUUUAAAGUGGUACGCGAGCUGGGUUUAGAACGUCGUGAGACAGUUCGGUCCCUAUCUGCCGUGGGCGCUGGAGAAUUGAGGGGGGCUGCUCCUAGUACGAGAGGACCGGAGUGGACGCAUCACUGGUGUUCGGGUUGUCAUGCCAAUGGCACUGCCCGGUAGCUAAAUGCGGAAGAGAUAAGUGCUGAAAGCAUCUAAGCACGAAACUUGCCCCGAGAUGAGUUCUCCCUGACUCCUUGAGAGUCCUGAAGGAACGUUGAAGACGACGACGUUGAUAGGCCGGGUGUGUAAGCGCAGCGAUGCGUUGAGCUAACCGGUACUAAUGAACCGUGAGGCUUAACCUU